AGCGAAUAGAUACCCAGGUAGUCCCAGCCGUAAACGAUGCUCGCUAGGUGUCAGGCAUGGCGCGACCGUGUCUGGUGCCGCAGGGAAGCCGUGAAGCGAGCCACCUGGGAAGUACGGCCGCAAGGCUGAAACUUAAAGGAAUUGGCGGGGGAGCACAACAACGGGUGGAGCCUGCGGUUUAAUUGGACUCAACGCCGGACAACUCACCGGGGGGCGACAGCAAUAUGUAGGCCAAGCUGAAGACUUUGCCUGAAUCGCUGAGAGGAGGUGCAUGGCCGUCGCCAGUUCGUACUGUGAAGCAUCCUGUUAAGUCAGGCAACGAGCGAGACCCGUGCCCACUGUUACCAGCAUGUCCUCCGGGACGAUGGGUACUCUGUGGGGACCGCCGAUGUUAAAUCGGAGGAAGGUGCGGGCCACGGUAGGUCAGUAUGCCCCGAAUCUCCCGGGCUACACGCGGGCUACAAUGGAUGGGACAAUGGGUCCUCCCCUGAAAACGGGCUGGUAAUCUCACAAACCCAUUCGUAGUUCGGAUCGAGGGCU
rnacentral:rRNA from 1 species